AAAUCCUUGUCCAAAUAUAAAUUGGUGCUUUUUUUUAUCGAAUUUCUGAUAUCGAAUUCUAUCGAUCGCAAAAGUCUGGCAAAUACGAACAGAAAUCUCAAUUAGACGGACGAUGAAUAUAUUCUGCAAGAUCUACUAUUAGCCAAAUAUUUCGUCAAAUACUCGAAUACCAAGUUUAGGACAAAUAUCGUUUCUGAUUCGAAAAAGAAACCGGAGUUAUUAAGAAACCGGAUUAAUUGAUGAGGUUUCAUCCAUUCAAUUCGUUUUAUCCAUUACGAGGCUUGGAAACUUACAAGAAAUACUUCAAUAAAAACAUUUACGAUACAGCAGUCAUCGAAAUC